rnacentral:ncRNA from 2 species
UCAGUCCUUUCUGACGCAAGACGCCGUGGCCAGAAGUAGACACGAGGGGUGAAACGGGAAGUCGGUGCCAAUCCGACGCUGCCCCCGCAACGGUGAUCGAGUCAAGCGCGCUCACCACGCCACUGUGACAGGGUCCUUGACCCCUGAUGCGACCGGACCCUGUGUCCCGCUCAGCCAGUCACGGGAAGGCGAACGCGCCGAACCGUCGAAACGCUUCGAUGGUUCAUCUCGUCAGCCCGGAGACCGGCCUGAAGAGCCAUGCCAAG